GAGUUCAUGCCCUUCGGGGUAGACCUCCCACCCUAUGUAUACAUUGCCUUUGUUGCUUUGGCGGACCGCCUUCGGGCCACCGGCUCCGGCUGGUGCGCGUCCGCCGAGGGCCCCCAAACUCGAAUUUAUUACGUGUAUAUCUGAGGGGCGAAAGCCUGUAAAAAUGAAUCAAAACUUUCAACAACGGAUCUCUUGGCUCU
rnacentral:misc_RNA from 1 species